CAUUAUUGAAAAAAUUUGGUGGGGGUUGUUGCUGGCUUUUCGGAGCAAGUGCACGCCUUCUCCAUCUUUAACCACCUGUGCACUUUGUGUAGAUCUGAAAACUCUCGAGGAAACUCGGUUGGAGAAUCGCUGUGCGAAAGCCGGCCUUUCUUGUAUUCAGAUCUACGUUUUCCAUAUACCCCAUAUGAAUGUAUCUGAACAUUGUAAUUGGCCUUCGUGCCUUUAAACUAAAAACAACUUUCAACAACGGAUCUCUUGGCUCUCGCAUCGAUGAAGAACGCAGCGAAAUGCGAUAAGUAAUGUGAAUUGCAGAAUUCAGUGAAUCAUCGAAUCUUUGAACGCACCUUGCGCUCCUUGGUAUUCCGAGGAGCAUGCCUGUUUGAGUGUCAUGAAAUUCUCAAUCCUUCUGGCUUUUUCAAAGCUAGUCGGACUUGGAUUAUGGAAGUUGCUGGUUUUCACGAAUCAGCUCUUCUUAAAUAUAUUAGCAGUCCUUUGCUGACUGCCUUUGGUAUGAUAAUUAUCUAUAUCACUGGCAGGCAGCUUCCCUCGCGGAGAGGCUCUGCUUCUAAUCGUCUUUGAAGACAAUUUGAUUACUUUGACCUCAAAUCAGGUAGGACUACCCGCUGAACUUAAG
rnacentral:rRNA from 1 species